CCAAUUUAUAAUGAGUGGAAAUGCACCUUGCCUCGACUCUCAAAUGGUUUCCUCUCUCAACCAAUCGGAAAACACAGAAACGCAAACCACCCAAUCACAAUGCGCAAGAUCAGAAGCUAUUUAGUAAUCACAGCACAGCGUUUCCCACUCCAAUUUUGCCCCAAAUUGUCUUUGAAACUCAAGCAAGACUUCUUACCUUAAUGGCAGUUCGAAAACAUUUCACUCGACAAAUUCAAAAUCAAAAAAAGGAAUAACGCGCCUCUACUAACAACAAAAUAAACAGUUGUUUACUACA